GUUCCUUAGGGCCCGUUCUUUAUCCCGUCUGAGAAUCACUUUUUCACUCAAAAGUGCUUUUCUCUUAAAAGGAGCAAAUAACAGCCUCCUUUUUCUUUUAAAAUUUCUCCAUCAAAAAAGUGCUUCUCUCUAGAUGGAGAAGCUAAAAAUUUCACCAUUUAAAACGCUGGAAGUGCUUUUGGCUAAUAAAAGACCAAAUUAACCUAUUUCUCCCCCUUGAAAAAACGUUCUUUCCUCUGCUGUGAAAGCUCUAUACCCAUUUUUUUUCACAUUUUCGCUGUGAAAGCUCUUUUCUGUUCUUUGUUCCUCUUCCGCAGGUAGAAUAUGAUAUUCUCAGAUGCUAGCAUUUGAUGUUGGUGAAUUAUGUGGCCUUUGGUGGAGAGUGUGAGGCUCUGCGCUGAGCAAAUAGAUGCAGGCAGUUGGCUUUUAGUAGUAAUGAAGAACAUACAGGUGUUUCCCUCUUUUAAUAAGUAAUUAUAUGUAUAUAAUUGCUCUCUUUGGUGUCAGCUAAGUAGCCAUUGUGUCAAGUUACAAGUGAUCAUUACUCCUAAGUUAACAUAUAAAAGAACUGUUCACUCCUAAGUUGCAACUGUUGUAUUUUUUGGAUUUUUUUUUACUUUUAGUAGGAAAAAAGUAUGAUUAAUUCAGUUAAGUGGGACAAAGAGAUUGGAAAGCAUGGCUUGAACUUUGAAAGGUGAUAUCAUGUGUAACUCAAACCAUAUUUAUGUUUGAGUUCCUUGUUUUAGAAAAUGGAUAUAGCUGCUGCUUGCUAUUGACGAUUCUUAACCCAAAGUAUUAAUGCUUGCUCAGAUUCUUAACCCAAUGUUUAUUUCAUGAAAGGUUCCAUCUUAAAGUUGCUUCCUGUUUGACUAGCAAUUUUCUAGUAUUAAUGCUAGUGGAUUGGUCUUUGACUAGCAAUUUUCUAGGACUAUUCAGGUUGUGGAAGGCUCUCCAGUUUUAUGCAGGCUUCAGCAUUUUCAUGCUUUAUGUGUAUCAACUCCCUAUAGAGUUCUCAAGUAUGUUACAGUGGAUAGCUGAUUUUGUUGGUCUAUUCAAAAUAUGUUCAACAUCUGAGUGGACUGAAAUUUGCUCUUCUGUUUCUCUUGUACUUUUUUACAUCAUGGUAUGUACUAGUUUUAUUACUAUAGGUCUGAUUCUGUUUAACGAUUUUAGCUGAACCUUUAAAUGAAAUGCAAUACACGCUAAACUGUUCAAUUGAAA